GCAGUCGAACGAUGAAAGCAGGAGCUUGCUUUUGCUGGAUUAGUGGCGAACGGGUGAGUAACACGUGAGUAACCUGCCCUUGACUCUGGGAUAAGCGUUGGAAACGACGUCUAAUACCGGAUACGAGCUAGGACCGCAUGGUCACUAGUUGGAAAGAAUUUCGGUCAAGGAUGGACUCGCGGCCUAUCAGCUAGUUGGUGAGGUAACGGCCCACCAAGGCGACGACGGGUAGCCGGCCUGAGAGGGUGACCGGCCACACUGGGACUGAGACACGGCCCAGACUCCUACGGGAGGCAGCAGUGGGGAAUAUUGCACAAUGGGCGCAAGCCUGAUGCAGCAACGCCGCGUGAGGGACGACGGCCUUCGGGUUGUAAACCUCUUUUAGCAGGGAAGAAGCGAAAGUGACGGUACCUGCAGAAAAAGCACCGGCUAACUACGUGCCAGCAGCCGCGGUAAUACGUAGGGUGCAAGCGUUGUCCGGAAUUAUUGGGCGUAAAGAGCUCGUAGGCGGUUUGUCGCGUCUGCUGUGAAAAUCCGAGGCUCAACCUCGGACCUGCAGUGGGUACGGGCAAACUAGAGUGCGGUAGGGGAGAUUGGAAUUCCUGGUGUAGCGGUGGAAUGCGCAGAUAUCAGGAGGAACACCAAUGGCGAAGGCAGAUCUCUGGGCCGUAACUGACGCUGAGGAGCGAAAGCGUGGGGAGCGAACAGGAUUAGAUACCCUGGUAGUCCACGCCGUAAACGGUGGGAACUAGAUGUGGGGUCCGUUCCACGGAUUCCG
rnacentral:rRNA from 1 species